rnacentral:piRNA from 1 species
UGGCAGGGAACUAAGAGAACUGAUUGCUGCUU